CCGAGUUAGGGUCUUUUAGGCCCGACCUCCCAACCCUAUGUUUAUUGAACCUCUGUUGCUUCGGCGGACCCGCCUCACGGCCGCCGGAGGACCGCCGCGAGGCGUCCUCUGGCCGGCGUCCGCCGAUGGCCAACCCACUAAACUCUGAAUAAAUCGUGUCAUAUGUCUAAGUCUAUGAUUAAAUUAAAGCA
rnacentral:misc_RNA from 1 species